rnacentral:ncRNA from 1 species
ACAUUUAACUUGGCCAAUUUCUGCUUUAUCAGCAGGGAUAACUGACUUCUGGCAGCCAAGCGUUCAUAGAGGCGUUGCUUUAUGAUCCUUCGAUGUCGGCUCUUCCUAUCAUACUGAAGCAGAAUUCAGUGAGCAUUGGAUUGUUCACCCAUAAAUAGGGAACGGUAGCUGGGUUUAGACCGCCGUGAGACAGUUAGUUUUACCAUGCGGAUGAAAUGUUGCUGCAAUAGUCAUUGAACUUAGUACGAGAGGAACCGUUCAUUCGGAUAAUUGGUAUUUGAACCUUCCUGAGCAGGCAAUGGCCUGAAGCUAUCAUCCGUUGGGUUAUGGCUUAACGCCUCUAAGUCAGAAAUUACCGCCAUUUCUGAUUUUUAGAUGAAUACGAAUAGAUCAACGGUCCUGAAUCUUAUGAACGUAGGAUUAUCUUGAAGAGCGGAUAGGCUUUGUGAGGUUUCCUGCUAAUGUUAAUUUCAAAUAUAACACGAGAUAAACCUAUUGCAGGUGACUUUAAGCGAACGGGGUAUUGUAAGUAGUAGAGUAGACUUUUUGCUACGAUCUGCUGAGAUUAAGCCCAUUGUUCUAUAGUUU